CAGAGGGUGAGUAACGUGGGAACUACCUUUUGGUUCGGAACCCAGGGAAACUUGUGCUAUACCGGAUAAGCCCUUACGGGGAAAGAAGCCGAAAGAUUGGCCCGCGUCUGAUUAGCUAGUUGGUGAGGUAAUGGCUCACCAAGGCGACGAUCAGUAGCUGGUCUGAGAGGAUGAUCAGCCACAUUGGGACCGAGACACGGCCCAAACUCCUACGGGAGGCAGCAGUGGGGAAUAUUGGACAAUGGGCGCAAGCCUGAUCCAGCCAUGCCGCGUGAGUGAUGAAGGCCCUAGGGUUGUAAAGCUCUUUUGUGCGGGAAGAUAAUGACGGUACCGCAAGAAUAAGCCCCGGCUAACUUCGUGCCAGCAGCCGCGGUAAUACGAAGGGGGCUAGCGUUGCUCGGAAUCACUGGGCGUAAAGGGUGCGUAGGCGGGUCUUUGAGUCAGAGGUGAAAUCCUGGAGCUCAACUCCAGAACUGCCUUUGAUACUGAAGGUCCUGAGUUCGGGAGAGGUGAGUGGAACUGCGAGUGUAGAGGUGAAAUUCGUAGAUAUUCGCAAGAACACCAGUGGCGAAGGCGGCUCACUGGCCCGAUACUGACGCUGAGGCACGAAAGCGUGGGGAGCAAACAGGAUUAGAUACCCUGGUAGUCCACGCCGUAAACGAUGAGAACCUGACGUCGGUUUGCUCUGCGAAUCGGUGUCGUAGCUAACGCGAUAAGUUCUCCGCCUGGGGAGUACGGCCGCAAGGUUGAAACUCAAAGGAUUGACGGGGGCCCGCACAAGCGGUGGAGUAUGUGGUUUAAUUCGAUGCGACGCGAAACCUUACGGGUUAAAUCCACUCGAACUUGGUAGAGAUACCUUGGUGCUUCUGGGGAGCGAGUGAGAAGGCUGCAUGGUGUCGUCAGCUCGUGUCGGAGAUGUUGGGUUAAUCCAACGAGCGCAAUCUAUCGUCAGUUGCCAGCAUUAAGUUGGGACUCUGGAGACUGCCGCGUCAAGG
rnacentral:rRNA from 1 species